GACGAACGCUGGCGGCAAGCUUAACACAUGCAAGUCGAACGCCGUAGCAAUAAGGAGUGGCAGACGGGCGGGUAACACGUGGGAACGUGCCUUUCGGUUCGGAACAACUGAGGGUAACUUCAGCUAAAACCGGAUACGCCCCUCGGGGGAAGGGUUACGCCGAAAGAUCGGCCCGCGUCAGAUUAGGUAGGUGGCGGGGUAAUGGCCCACCCAGCCGAUGAUCUGUAGCUGUCCUGAGAGGAAGACUAGCCACACGGGGACUGAGACACGGUCCAGACUCCUACGGGAGGCAGCAGUGGGGAAUAUUGGACAGUGGGCGCAAGCAUGAUCCAGCUAUGCCGCGUGGAUUAAGAAGGCCGAUGAGUAUUAAAGUCAUUGCAGCGGGGAAGAUAAUGACGGUACCCACAGAAGAAGCCCCGGCUAAGUUCGUGCCAGCCGCCGCAGUAAGAC
rnacentral:rRNA from 1 species